AGCGACGCCGCGUGAGGGAUGACGGCCUUCGGGUUGUAAACCUCUUUCAGCAGGGAAGAAGCCACAAGUGACGGUACCUGCAGAAGAAGCGCCGGCUAACUACGUGCCAGCAGCCGCGGUAAUACGUAGGGCGCAAGCGUUGUCCGGAAUUAUUGGGCGUAAAGAGCUCGUAGGCGGUUUGUCGCGUCUGCUGUGAAAGCCCGGGGCUCAACCCCGGGUCUGCAGUGGGUACGGGCAGACUAGAGUGCAGUAGGGGAGACUGGAAUUCCUGGUGUAGCGGUGAAAUGCGCAGAUAUCAGGAGGAACACCGAUGGCGAAGGCAGGUCUCUGGGCUGUUACUGACGCUGAGGAGCGAAAGCAUGGGGAGCGAACAGGAUUAGAUACCCUGGUAGUCCAUGCCGUAAACGUUGGGCACUAGGUGUGGGGGACAUUCCACGUUCUCCGCGCCGUAGCUAACGCAUUAAGUGCCCCGCCUGG
rnacentral:rRNA from 1 species